AUGUACGCCAGCACCUGCUCCGCGGCCGACGAGCGCGUGUACUGCCCGGACUGCCGCCGCGCGACGGAGGUUGUCCUGGACCACGGCACCGGCGACACCAUCUGCACCGAGUGCGCGCUCGUCCUCGACGCGCACUACAUCGACGAGGGUUCCGAGUGGCGCAGCUUCGCCGACGACGGCGGCGGCGAGGACCGCGACCCCAGCCGCGUCGGCGCCUCCGGCGACCCCUUCCUCGCCGCCAAGCUCGCCACCGUCAUCGACUACACCAACAAGCCCAAGAAGUCCUCCGCCACCGGCGUGGCGACAAAGGCCCCGCCCAGGAUGUCGGUGCCGGACGCGGGGUCGGCCUCCGAAAACACCCUCGUCGACGGCUUCCGCGGCAUCUCCGACAUGGCCGACCGGCUCGGCCUCGUGGCCACCAUCCGGGACCUGGCCAAGGAGACGUUCAAGAAGCUGGACGAGGCCAAGGGCUGCCCGCGCGGCCGGAAGCGGAACUCCGUCUAUGCCGCCUGCCUCUACAUCGCCUGCCGCAACCUCGGCAUGCCGCGCACGUACAAGGAGCUCGCCUCCGUCACCGCCGGGGGCGUGGCUGCCAAGAAGGACGUCGGCAAGAUGACGACGCACAUCAAGAAGCUCCUCGGGGAGGAGGACGGCCAGGUGAUGGACAUCGGCGUCGUCAGCGCAUCCGACUACCUGCGCCGCUUCUGCUCCCGGCUCGGCCUGGGCAACCAGGAGGUGCGCGACGCGCAGGAGGCCGUGCGGAGGGUCGAGGAAGGGCUCGACGUGCGCCGCAACCCGGAGUCCGUCGCCGCCGCCAUCAUCUACAUGGUCGUGCAGCGCGCGGGCGCCGGUAGGUCCGUCAAGGACGUGUCCGUCGCCACCGGCGUCGCCGAGGGCACCAUCAAGGAGGCGCACAAGGACCUCACCCCGCACGCCCAGAUGCUCUUCGGCUCAGCCUGA
rnacentral:rRNA from 1 species